rnacentral:misc_RNA from 1 species
GAUGAAGAACGUAGCGAAAUGCGAUACGUAAUGUGAAUUGCAAAUUCAGUGAAUCAUCGAGUCUUUGAACGCACAUUGCGCCCCCUGGUAUUCCGGGGGGCAUGCCUGUCCGAGCGUCAUUGCUGCCCUCAAGCACGGCUUGUGUGUUGGGCCCCGUCCUCCGAUCCCGGGGGACGGGCCCGAAAGGCAGCGGCGGCACCGCGUCCGGUCCUCGAGCGUAUGGGGCUUUGUCACCCGCUCUGUAGGCCCGGCCGGCGCUUGCCGAUCAACCCAAAUUUUUAUCCAGGUUGACCUCGGAUCAGGUAGGGAUACCCGCUGAACUGAAGCAUAUCAAUAAGCGGAGGA